UACGAAGGGGGCUAGCGUUGUUCGGAAUUACUGGGCGUAAAGCGCGCGUAGGCGGUUUUGCAAGCCAGAGGUGAAAUGCCUGAGCUCAACUCGGGAAUGGCCUUUGGGACUGCGAGGCUUUGAGGACUGGAGAGGUGAGUGGAAUUCCCAGUGUAGAGGUGAAAUUCGUAGAUAUUCGCAAGAACACCAGUGGCGAAGGCGGCUCACUGGCCCGAUACUGACGCUGAGGUGCGAAAGCGUGGGGAGCAAACAGG
rnacentral:rRNA from 1 species